rnacentral:rRNA from 1 species
CCUACGGGUGGCAGCAGUGAGGAAUAUUGGUCAAUGGGCGAGAGCCUGAACCAGCCAAGUCGCGUGAAGGAUGAAGGAUCUAUGGUUUGUAAACUUCUUUUAUAGGGGAAUAAAGGUAUCCAUGUGUGGAUUUUUGCAUGUACCCUAUGAAUAAGCAUCGGCUAACUCCGUGCCAGCAGCCGCGGUAAUACGGAGGAUGCGAGCGUUAGCCGGAUUUAUUGGGUUUAACGGGUGCGUAGGUUGUUUUUUAAGUCAGCGGUGAAAGUUUGUGGCUCAACCAUAAAAUUGCCGUUGAAACUGGAAGACUUGAGUGUGUUUGAGGUAGGCGGAAUGCGUGGUGUAGCGGUGAAAUGCAUAGAUAUCACGCAGAACUCCGAUUGCGAAGGCAGCUUACUAAGCCAUAACUGACACUGAAGCACGAAAGCGUGGGGAUCAAACAGGAUUAGAUACCCGGGUAGUC